rnacentral:misc_RNA from 1 species
UCUGGUUUGUGGCUAUUAGACU